UACGUAGGGGGCAAGCGUUGUCCGGAAUCAUUGGGCGUAAAGAGCGUGUAGGCGGCCAUGUAGGUCCGUUGUGAAAACUCGAGGCUCAACCUCGAGACGCCGAUGGAAACCAUGUGGCUAGAGUCCGGAAGAGGAGAGUGGAAUUCCUGGUGUAGCGGUGAAAUGCGCAGAUAUCAGGAAGAACACCCGUGGCUAAGGCGGCUCUCUAGUACGGUACUGACGCUGAGACGCGAAAGCGUGGGGAGCGAACAGG
rnacentral:rRNA from 1 species